GUCAGGGAUGGGCCCGCGCCCUAUCAGCUUGUUGGUGGGGUAACGGCCUACCAAGGCGACGACGGGUAGCUGGUCUGAGAGGACGACCAGCCACACUGGAACUGAGAUACGGUCCAGACUCCUACGGGAGGCAGCAGUGGGGAAUAUUGCACAAUGGGCGAAAGCCUGAUGCAGCGACGCCGCGUGAGGGAUGACGGCCUUCGGGUUGUAAACCUCUUUCGGCAGGGACGAAGCGCAAGUGACGGUACCUGCAGAAGAAGUCCCGGCUAACUACGUGCCAGCAGCCGCGGUAAGACGUAGGGGACGAGCGUUGUCCGGAUUCAUUGGGCGUAAAGAGCGCGUAGGCGGCUACGCAAGUCGGUUGUGAAAACCCGGGGCUCAACCCCGGGCCUGCAGCUGAUACUGCGUGGCUAGAGGUAGGUAGGGGAGAUCGGAAUUCCUGGUGUAGCGGUGAAAUGCGCAGAUAUCAGGAGGAACACCGGUGGCGAAGGCGGAUCUCUGGGCCUUACCUGACGCUGAGGCGCGAAAGCUAGGGGAGCGAACAGGAUUAGAUACCCUGGUAGUCCUAGCCGUAAACGUUGGGUGCUAGGUGUGGGCGGAUAUCGACCCCGUCCGUGCCGAAGCUAACGCAUUAAGCACCCCGCCUGGGGAGUACGGCCGCAAGGCUAAAACUCAAAUGAAUUGACGG
rnacentral:rRNA from 1 species